GAUGAACGCUGGCGGCGUGCCUAAUACAUGCAAGUCGAACGCAUAGCGAAAGGUGCUUGCACCUUUCAAGUGAGUGGCGAACGGGUGAGUAACACGUGGACAACCUGCCUCAAGGCUGGGGAUAACAUUUGGAAACAGAUGCUAAUACCGAAUAAAACUUAGUGUCGCAUGACACAAAGUUAAAAGGCGCUUCGGCGUCACCUAGAGAUGGAUCCGCGGUGCAUUAGUUAGUUGGUGGGGUAAAGGCCUACCAAGACAAUGAUGCAUAGCCGAGUUGAGAGGCUGAUCGGCCACAUUGGGACUGAGACACGGCCCAAACUCCUACGGGAGGCAGCAGUAGGGAAUCUUCCACAAUGGGCGAAAGCCUGAUGGAGCAACGCCGCGUGUGUGAUGAAGGCUUUCGGGUCGUAAAGCACUGUUGUAUGGGAAGAACAGCUGGAAUAGGAAAUGAUGUUAGUUUGACGGUACCAAACCAGAAAGGGACGGCUAAAUACGUG
rnacentral:rRNA from 1 species